rnacentral:rRNA from 1 species
UACGUAGGGUGCGAGCGUUGUCCGGAUUUAUUGGGCGUAAAGGGCUCGUAGGCGGCGUGUCGCGUCGGGAGUGAAAGCCCGUUGCUUAACGGCGGGUUGGCUUUCGGUACGGGCAUGCUGGAGUGCGGCAGGGGAGACUGGAAUUCCUGGUGUAGCGGUGAAAUGCGCAGAUAUCAGGAGGAACACCGGUGGCGAAGGCGGAUCUCUGGGCCAUUACUGACGCUGAGGAGCGAAAGCGUGGGGAGCGAACAGG